UGGGGAAUAUUGCACAAUGGGGGAAACCCUGAUGCAGCGACGCCGCGUGAACGAAGAAGGUAUUCGUAUCGUAAAGUUCUGUCCUAUGGGAAGAUAAUGACAGUACCAUAGAAGAAAGCUCCGGCUAAAUACGUGCCAGCAGCCGCGGUAAUACGUAUGGAGCGAGCGUUGUCCGGAAUUAUUGGGCGUAAAGGGUACGCAGGCGGUUUAAUAAGUCGAAUGUUAAAGAUCGGGGCUCAACCCCGUAAAGCAUUGGAAACUGAUAAACUUGAGUAGUGGAGAGGAAAGUGGAAUUCCUAGUGUAGUGGUGAAAUACGUAGAUAUUAGGAGGAAUACCAGUAGCGAAGGCGACUUUCUGGACACAAACUGACGCUGAGGUACGAAAGCGUGGGGAGCAAGCAGG
rnacentral:rRNA from 1 species